GUGCUUGCUUCGGCAGCACACAUACUAAAAAUUGGAACUAUACAGAGAAGAUUAGCAUGGCCCCUGCGCAAGGAUGAC
rnacentral:snRNA from 1 species